AUUGAACGCUGGCGGUAUGCUUAACACAUGCAAGUCGAACGGCAGCACAAAAGGGGUAACCCUUGGGUGGCGAGUGGCGGACGGGUGAGUAAUGCGUGGGGACCUGCCUGACAGUUGGGGAUAACCCGGGGAAACUCGGGCUAAUACCGAAUACAGUUUACGAACGAAAGGAUGGGACCCUCGGGCCAUUCGCUGACAGA
rnacentral:rRNA from 1 species